UUCCACAAGAUAAGAAUAUGGAAAAAUAUGAUAAAGAUAUUCGAUUAAUUAUAUAUGGUCAUAAUUUAUCUAAUUAUAUUUUAAAAAAUGAAGAUAUAUGUAAUCAUAAAAGGAUUUUACAACAUAUAGAAGAAUAUUGUGUAAUUGAGUCAAAAAUAUUAAAUGUUUAUUAUAGUUUAAGUAAAGGGAAAUAUAAUAAUAAUGGUGAAAGUAAUAUAUCUCAAAAUAAAAGAAUAAAAAAAAAAAAAAAAAAAAAAAAGAAAAAAAAAAUGAAAGGGAGUUAAAUGUGGGAAGUAAAAACAGGAGUAGUAAAAAUGGAAGUAGUAAAAAUGGAAGUAGUAAAAAUGGAAGUAGUAAAAAUGGAAGUAGUAAAAGAGAAGUAGAGAAAGAAUGGAAUAAAAAACGGGAAUACCAGCA
rnacentral:lncRNA from 1 species